UACGAAGGGGGCUAGCGUUGUUCGGAAUCACUGGGCGUAAAGCGCACGCAGGCGGAUCGUUAAGUCAGGGGUGAAAUGCCGAGGCUCAACCUCGGAACUGCCUUUGAUACUGGCGAUCUUAGAGUCCGGGAGAGGUGAGUGGAACUCCGAGUGUAGAGGUGAAAUUCGUAGAUAUCGAGUGGAACACCGGUGGCGAAGGCGGCUUUCUGGACAGGUACUGACGCUGAGACGCGAAAGCGUGGGGAGCAAACAGG
rnacentral:rRNA from 1 species